rnacentral:lncRNA from 1 species
CCUCCCUGUCAGGGCCUCAAGGGAGCACCAGCCGCACACGGAGACUGUAAGGGGCUGGGAGAGGCACCCUGUAGGUUGAGAUCCGGAGGGACAGAGAGUCAGACCUAGAUGACCACGGUGGAGCGGGAGGGAGGGGCUCAGGCAGGGGCAGCACCCCAAAGGGGAGGACCUGGGGGAGCACAGUGACCCAGAGAAGGCUGCAGGCCAGCAGCCUGUGAACUUUGAGUUUCCGCAGGACAACAAGUGAUUUGGAACCUACUGGAGAACCCCGUACUCCCAGGAACUGCUGUCCUAUACUGUCAUUUGCUCAGUCUGUCUGACUUUGUGUAGGACACACUCCCAGGAGGCUCCAUUCAGGUCCCAGAGUGACAAGAUGAGCAGGCCUCAGGGUCCUUGGCCCCAGACCAUGUCUCUGACCCCAACCCGAGCCCCUUCCCCAGCACCCUGUCGUGCUCCCUGGAUGGUUUCUGGAAUGCUCCAAAGAGGAGUCAGGCUCACAGGGCGAGCCUGCUGCCGAGUAUCAGGAGCGGGUGGCACUGACCUUGAACUCUCGGGGGCGUCUUGGAAACACACACGUGACUCGGCAACAGCCCCCAAGGAGGGUGAUCUCUGCUUGCUCCUUGGGACAGACUAUCUGCAUCGCUGGUCAUUGCAACUGCAGAAGGUGCUGGGGGUUCAGCUUGUGGUUCCGAAUGUCGAAGGCAAAGCCGAGGCUCCGAGGGGAGGCCUGGGGGUGGGGAGCUGGGAGACAGCAGGGAGCCGGGGUCCUCCUCUGUCAGAGGGCAGGCCGGGGAGGCCGUGGGCGGUUGACUGGAGGGGAGGUGCACCUUCAGCCGGAGAGGGGACGAGCUGAGGCUGGGACCAGCGAUGUCCCUUCAAAGUCUGGGAGGACGGGAGGGGGGCCCAGGGGUGGACUCUCAGCAUCGUGGGCGGUGGCAAAGGUGCUGGGUGACGGCCGGGAACUCCAAGCCAGGGGGUGACCUGGGCACAGACCACAGGAGCGCAGAGGGACGGGCUCAGGUCACCCCCUGGCUUGGAGUUCCCGGCCGUCACCCAGCACCUUUGCCACCGCCCACGAUGCUGAGAGUCCACCCCUGGGCCCCCCUCCCGUCCUCCCAGACUUUGAAGGGACAUCGCUGGUCCCAGCCUCAGCUCGUCCCCUCUCCGGCUGAAGGUGCACCUCCCUCCAGUCAACCGCCCACGGCCUCCCCGGCCUGCCCUCUGACAGAGGAGGACCCCGGCUCCCUGCUGUCUCCCAGCUCCCCACCCCCAGGCCUCCCCUCGGAGCCUCGGCUUUGCCUUCGACAUUCGGAACCACAAGCUGAACCCCCAGCACCUUCUGCAGUUGCAAUGACCAGCGAUGCAGAUAGUCUGUCCCAAGGAGCAAGCAGAGAUCACCCUCCUUGGGGGCUGUUGCC